AGCAGCCGCGGUAAUUCCAGCUCCAAUAGCGUAUAUUAAAGUUGUUGCAGUUAAAAAGCUCGUAGUUGAAUUUCGGGAUCAAAUUGUUGGUCGUGCCUCGGUACGCACUGGCAUUAUCGGUUCCUACCUUCUGAAGAACCGCGAUGUCAUUAAUUUGGUGUCGUGGGGAAUCAGGACUGUUACUUUGAAAAAAUUAGAGUGUUUAAAGCAGGCUUACGCUUGAAUACAUUAGCAUGGAAUAAUGAAAUAGGACGUUUGAUUCUAUUUUGUUGGUUUCUAGGAUCGACGUAAUGAUUAAUAGGGAUAGUUGGGGGCAUUAGUAUUCAAUUGUCAGAGGUGAAAUUCUUGGAUUUAUUGAAGACUAACUACUGCGAAAGCAUUUGCCAAGGAUGUUUUCAUUAAUCAAGAACGAAAGUUGGGGGAUCGAAGACGAUCAGAUACCGUCGUAGUCUUAACCAUAAACUAUGCCGACUAGGGAUCGGAUGAUGUUAAUUUUAUAAUGACUC
rnacentral:rRNA from 1 species